rnacentral:rRNA from 1 species
AUACGGAAGGUCCGGGCGUUAUCCGGAUUUAUUGGGUUUAAAGGGAGCGCAGGCGGAGAUGCAAGCGUGACGUCAAAUUUCGGGGCUCAACCCCGUCUCGCGUCGCGAACUGCGUCCCUUGGUUGCGGGAAGGGGAGGCGGAACUCGUGGUGUAGCGGGUAAAUGCACAGAUAUCACGAAGAACUCCGAUCGCGAAGGCAGCCUUCCGGCCCGUCAACGACGCUCAUGCUCGAAGGUGCGGGUAUCAAACAGGAUUAGAUACCCUGGUAGUCCGCACAGUAAACGAUGGACACCCGCGGUUUGGCCUGUAUGGCUGAGCCGCCAAGCGAAAGCGUUAAGUGUCCCACCUGGGGAGUACGCCGGCAACGGUGAAACUUAAAGGAAUUGACGGGG